rnacentral:lncRNA from 1 species
UUCUUCUAAGCUUAGCAACUAUUUCUGAGAGUCUAGGUGGCCUCUCUGGUGGCAUUGCUCACACUUUCAUCCCUGAGUAGGCUGGGCUCAAGAAUCAUUUUUCUUCUCUUUUGUUCUCUGGCAUCUUAAUCUGUUUUCUACAGCUAAAACAAAAUACCCAAGACUGGAUACCUCACAAUGAAAAGAUGUUUGCUUAGUUUAUACCUUUGGAGGGUACAAGGUCAGGAUCGAGUGGCCUCCUCUCUUUGGCACCUCAGAGCCUGGCAGAGAGGGACAUGGCAAAGCUGUUGCUAUAGCUGUUGUUCUUGCUGUUGCUGUUGAGAUAGUCUUGAUGUACAAUCCAGAGGCAAUGACACAGAGGCUAACAGCUAUCCGGCCAUGUAGUGGGCAGUACAGGAGAAGCCUGCAGCCUACGAACAGUGGGCACACAGAUGAGAAGGAAUUAAGCUCCAAGAAGGACAGCAGAGGGAUCUAGUGGACACAGCAGUUCCUGGAGGAACACAUGGAAAAUGGGAGGAGUACACCAAACCUUCGGAUCUCUGCCAGGUUGGGAAUUUUCUGUAACCACUUACAGAAGAGAAGAAAGCUUUCAGAUUAGCAACUUCUGUCUUUCAGAAGGCAAACAGAGAUAACUCUUGGCUUUGAAAUGGGAACACACCCAAGGCAAAGAUGGUUCUCGCUGAUAUCUCACUGCAGUAUGAGGCUUCACAACCGGCAAUUGCAUAGACUGAGGACAUGGAAGCUCCAAGGCCCUCUGAUGCUUUGAUAUGCUAAUAGAUACUACAGAUCUCCGGAUGACCCUUCUGAAUGAGAUAGGAAAUGGCUUCUUUAGUUGAGCGGAACAGCCACAGAAUUUGGAGAAGAAGGUGAUGGCUGCACCACAGGAGAUUUGUGACAAUAGGAGGACAAGGGUCUCUCACUGGCCUGGAGUUUCCCAAGUAGGUCAGCCUAUCUGGCUAGCAAGUCCCAGGGCCUGACAGUCUUCCCACCACAGUACUGCCAUUACAGAGAUUGAUUUUGAAAGCACCCCUCAAAGGCUUGAAAGUACUCAGACAGCCGUUCAGUUGUGUGCUGCCCAGGUUAUAACUCAAGUUUCCCAGUAAAUGACACGCAGAAGAAGUAAUAGGAGAUGACGCCCCACCCUUCCUGUCUCUCCGAUACCCUGCAGCAUCUGUUAGUCAUCUUUGUCAUAGAUGCUAAUAAAUUCAAAUUAAGGACAGCAAGAGUAUUGAAUUAAUAUUUCAGUGGGUUUACUGUUCAACAUCCAAUCUUACUAAGGCUGGAUAUUCCUGCAUUAAAAUGCCUUCCUUUAAUUUUUUUUUUAAGAUUUAAAAAAAUGAAAUUUAUCCUUUUUGGGGGUAUGUAUGGGAUAUAUGCACAUUUUCUAUCUCUCUCACUAACUCUGAGUGUGGGUGCAGAAAUCUUUCAGUACAGGAAUUUGAAGCCAGUCAGAUGUUUCUUUCCAUUCUUAAGGUCACAUUCAGGAUGCUGGUUUAUGUCUGACCCUGCCACUCAGUUUAUCCAGUUUGAACACGCUCUCACAGACACACUCAAGUGUUUGCCUCUAGCCAAUCUAAAGGGGUAUAUUUCCAGUUCAUCAUCUGGCUUUGGGGGCCUCAUCCUGAUGAGUGGGUGAUGGAUAGAGAUGACCGUGAGGAUUGGGAUACUCAAGAGGUGAAACAGCCCCCCUCCCCCAUCCCUAGAGAACAAAGUGACAGAGAACCCUGAGGAACUCUUUAUGAUGCAAAAAAGAGGCAAAAGGGCAAGUGGGCAGAGGGGGGUUAGGCAGAAGGGAGCACUCUGGAGGUGGAGACUUUGUGAAUUAGGAAGAAUGGGGUAGUGGACGGAGACCUCAUGUUUCUCGAAACGAGCCUUUUCCGGAAAUGAAAUGCGCGGUCCGUUUGCACUAGCCAUCUUCUGGAAAAGCCCGUCCCCGUCUGCCAGAUUUAUGAUCAGUAGCGGCUUCUGUAACCUAAAGGCAGCAAAAAAGCAUCUUGCCUCCAAAUGGGAAAUGCCUCUUGGAAGCAGAGCACCCUGCCUGUCCUUGUCCCUGUCCGAAGACAGUGCUCAUGACCUGCCGGCUAUUAGCCUCAGUGCAUGCAGUUUAUAACGAGAGAGAAAUGUAAUGGAAAAGGCUCAGGGAUGCCUCGCCAAGAAUACAUUCCUGAAUGACAAAGAGGCAGACAGGUGACUUCUGAUGUGAAGAGGAGGCCAGGUGAAGGACUGAACACAAGGAUUUCUUCCGCUCAGCACUGUGGCUGUUCUUGGGUCACUGGUGAAUGGCACAGGUUUCAGUUUUCAGGACAGAGCCUGGGCAGAACAGAGCCACAUCCUUGAGUAGAAUAUCACAAGAAUGACUCCUCUCCCAGUUCCUGAUAGAGCCCUUAUCCCACUCUGAAGCCUCAGGAGCCUGCCUUCUCUCAGCGUUCUUAUCCUCAAAGAAUCCCUGGAAGAACCAAAAGAAGCAAGGAAGUUGAAUACUUCAUUACAGUACAGCACCAUGCGGUAUAAAGUGCUGUCGAUAACCUCACUGUGACAAAAGUCUCGGUCACUUCUGGUGGGAUAGAAUUCAGAUCAUUUAGCUUAUCAUGGGAAGACUUGUGAUGACUGAGCCUCAAACCUCAGAGCCUGUUCAUCACCCGUGGCUUUCCUCCUGCAUCUGCCU